CUUACUCUCUUGAUCCGGUUCUAUACUCUUUGUGUCGGUAUGCAGAAGUACAAUCUGGAGUUUGAGCAACUGUCCU